GCCUGGGUAGCUCAGUUGGUUAAGCGUCUGACUUCGGCUCAGGCCACGAUCUCAUGGCUCAUGGGUUCGAGCCCCACAUCGGGCU
rfam:Felis catus isolate Cinnamon breed Abyssinian chromosome A3, whole genome shotgun sequence.